GACUUGGCAGCAACGAAUCGCGUGAUGUUAAUUGUGUCCGUUUCUGCAAUUAAAGAAUAUAACGAAUUGUAGAAAACGACACAAUAUACAGAACGUGAACGAUCAUCAGACGACAGA
rnacentral:precursor_RNA from 10 species